rnacentral:rRNA from 1 species
GAUGAACGCUGGCGGCGUGCCUAAUACAUGCAAGUCGAGAGAACGGACGAGAAGCUUGCUUCUCUGAUGUUAGCGGCGGACGGGUGAGUAGCACGUGGAUAACCUACCUAUAAGACUGGGAUAACUUCGGGAAACCGUAGCUAAUACCGGAUAAUAUUUUGAACCGCAUGGUUCAAAAGUGAAAGACGGUCUUGCUGUCACUUAUAGAUGGAUCCGCGCUGCAUUAGCUAGUUGGUAAGGUAACGGCUUACCAAGGCAACGAUGCAUAGCCGACCUGAGAGGGUGAUCGGCCACACUGGAACUGAGACACGGUCCAGACUCCUACGGGAGGCAGCAGUAGGGAAUCUUCCGCAAUGGGCGAAAGCCUGACGGAGCAACGCCGCGUGAGUGAUGAAGGUCUUCGGAUCGUAAAACUCUGUUAUUAGGGAAGAACAUAUGUGUAAGUAACUGUGCACAUCUUGACGGUACCUAAUCAGAAAGCCACGGCUAACUACGUG